rnacentral:rRNA from 1 species
GAUGAACGCUGGCGGCGUGCCUAAUACAUGCAAGUCGAGCGAACAGACGAGGAGCUUGCUCCUCUGACGUUAGCGGCGGACGGGUGAGUAACACGUGGAUAACCUACCUAUAAGACUGGGAUAACUUCGGGAAACCGGAGCUAAUACCGGAUAAUAUAUUGAACCGCAUGGUUCAACAGUGAAAGACGGUUUUGCUGUCACUUAUAGAUGGAUCCGCGCCGCAUUAGCUAGUUGGUAAGGUAACGGCUUACCAAGGCAACGAUGCGUAGCCGACCUGAGAGGGUGAUCGGCCACACUGGAACUGAGACACGGUCCAGACUCCUACGGGAGGCAGCAGUAGGGAAUCUUCCGCAAUGGGCGAAAGCCUGACGGAGCAACGCCGCGUGAGUGAUGGAGGUCUUCGGAUCGUAAAACUCUGUUAUUAGGGAAGAACAAAUGUGUAAGUAACUAUGCACGUCUUGACGGUACCUAAUCAGAAAGCCACGGCUAACUACGUG